rnacentral:misc_RNA from 1 species
CGCAUCUUGCGCUCCUUGGUAUUCCGAGGAGCAUGCCUGUUUGAGUGUCAUUAAAUUCUCAACCUUACUGGCUUUGCUGCUGGUCUGGCUUGGAUGUGGAGGUUUUGCAGGCUUUAACAAGUCAGCUCCUCUGAAAUGUAUUAGCGGUACCCUUGUGGUUAAUGGCUACUAGUGUGAUAAUUAUCUACGCUAUUCAGUCACCCACGAUUGUAAGGGUUAUGCUGCUUAUAACGGUCCAUUGACUUGGACAAUACAAAAUGACAAUUUUGACCUCAAAUCAGGUAGGACUACCCGCUGAACUUAA